UCAAGCAUGCCCACAGGCUCCCUGCUGGCACACCCUUGCUUAUUCACCAUUUCAUUCAUUUAAACAUCCCAAAAUGGAAAGGGUUCAGUAGGAGGGUACUGUGGACUGGGACCAGAGAGGUCACAGAGUGGAAGCAGCCCUGCACACUAUCGCAGGGCUUAUGCUUUAUCUCUCAUGUCAUCUAUUUCUCUGCAGCUUUAUGCCUGUAAGAGCCUGGACCAAAGCCGCUUGACUAUCCUUGGGGCAAGGACAGCCGCAAGCAUUCACUCUUCAAGGCCCUCACCCUACUCAUCUAGGCCCAUGGUCCCUGUCUCAUUUGUAACCCAGCCCUUCUGCAGCCCGGCCCUGUGCAGUCCUGCGUGAGUUCCUGGCUUCCUAGGGUCCUUGGAACUUACCUGUACUUUGUAGUCCUCCAACAGGAUGGGAAGAAGUAUUCUUUCGUUGUUUGAAACUGAAAACCAGAAAGUGAUAAAUAUGUGUUGCUACUGACAGAGUCUUGAACUUUCAAUCAACUUGAGCCCUAAUUCAAGAACCUAAGUUUUGAAGAUGGCCUACAGGGAAAACUUCACACAGGAGACGG